rnacentral:lncRNA from 1 species
UGAUGGACUGACACAGCAGCAAAGCCGAGACAGCCAGUGAGGUUUAGAAAAGAAGCCAAGAAGCGGCAGGAUUAGAUGGACCUAUGCAGCAUGUAGAAAUCAGAAACUGGGAGCUUCUUCCUCGGGACCUCAGCCAAUUGUGAGAAAAUAGAAUUUCAAAACUGACAACCUUGGCUAAGCAAGGCAGCUCAUGGCUGUGAUCCCAGCACUUUGAGAGGCCAAAGUGGGAGGAUUGCUUGAGCCCAGGAGUUGGAGACCAGCCUGGGCAACAUGGUGAAACCCCAUCUCUACCAACAACAACAACAACAAAAAUGCAAAAAUUAGUGAGGCAUGGUGGUCCGUGCCUAUAGUCCCAGCUACUCAGUAGGCUGAGGCUAUCACUUGAGCCCAAGAGGCAGAGUUCCAAUGAGCUGAGAUGGCACCACUGCACUCCAGCCUGGGCAACAGAGUGAGACCCUGUCUCAAAAAUAAAACAAAACAAAAAAACCUGAUAAUCCUGACUUGCAAAUUCAUAUAGAAACUAAGUUUCCAGUUAAAAGCUCCUUCCAAAAUGGCAGCAAGUUUUCAGCAAAGGGAGAGAAAGUGUAAUUUCAAGCAUGAAAUCAACAUACAUUUAUUGAGGACUAAACUUAUGUUAGAUGCUGUAGUGGAUUGAAUGGUGAUCCCCAAAAGAUACGUCCAUGUUUUAACCCCUGAAACCUGUGAAUGUGAUUUUAUUUGCAAAAUGGAAUUUUACAGAUAUAAUUCAUUAUUUUGAGGUGAGAUCAUCCUGGAUUACAAAAGUAGGCCCUAAACAUAAUAACUAGUUACCUUACAAGAGACAGACAGGAAAAGGCAGAGGUAUAAAGGAGAAGGCCAUGAGAAGAC